rnacentral:rRNA from 1 species
UACGUAGGGUGCGAGCGUUGUCCGGAAUUAUUGGGCGUAAAGGGCUCGUAGGCGGUUUGUCGCGUCGGGAGUGAAAACAUCCAGCUUAACUGGGUGCUUGCUUUCGAUACGGGCAGACUAGAGGUAUGCAGGGGAGAACGGAAUUCCUGGUGUAGCGGUGAAAUGCGUAGAGAUCCGGAGGAACACCAGAGGCGAAGGCGGCUUACUGGGCUGACCCUGACGCUGAGCCGCGAAAGCCAGGGGAGCGAACAGG